rnacentral:lncRNA from 1 species
UUUCAAAAUGAUUUCAAAUUCAAAGUUUUUAGUUAGUUGGCUUUUAGAUAGAUUUUAAAAAUUUGUAGAAAGUAAAAAUAGAAAUUAUUGCUUUAUUUAGAAUUUAGUUGAUACCUGUGGACAAUUUAAAAAUAUUCCAAGCACAAAAGAUUACAUUACCCUUUGAAACCAUUGGUGUGUCUUGGAAGUGUAGCGCAUUCAUCCAAGAUGAUUUAUUAUCAGCAUCGUAGAUGAAUAUGGAUGAAUGGAAUUUGUCUUCAGUGCUCUAUAAGUUUGUACUAUGGAGGGCUUUAAAAGUCGGAGGUACAAACUAUGGAGGCCUUUUAGCCUCCAUAGUUUGUACCUCCAGCUUUUAAAGCUUUGUAAGGGAUAUUGUAAUGAGGUUAAAUUUUAACUUGGAUUAAGAAAAAAACGUCGGCUUUGUUUAAGAAAGGAGCUGAUUUUUGUUUAGAAGGUAUGCCAAUAUUACUGCCCCUAAGAAACACUGGAAAUAUUGUAUGCUGCAAUUGUUCGGAAGACAUGGGCCUGAAAUUGGAAUAAGAAUAGUAUGGUAUAUUGCACUAUACACUUGAAUUUGCGCUAUGGACUAAAGAAAAGGGAAGAUUUGAAGGUAUUUGAUGACGAGAAGCAAGAAGAUGUUGAGCCCAUAGUUGAAAGAAAAUGUCCUAAAUUUGAUAAUAAUAAAAUGUUUAAUGCUGCAAUUCAACAUAAGUCACUUGAUGAAGGGCAGACAGUGUCUUAUACUUGAACACAAAAUAUAACUACGAGGAAAGUGAAAUUUUUUAAGACAACUGCCUUUUUUAUAUACUUCUUUGCAUCUUUUUGGAGUGAUAAAUAUGAAUCCCUUAAAUAUAACAAUGAUUUCUACAUGGAUAUACAGUACUUAUGAGAGCCUGCUCAAGAAAUUACAGAAUUAAAUGUGCAGUCCUUUCUUCUCAAUGAAGAAUCUCUUCAUAUACAAGCUUGAACGAGUCAAAAGCAUUGUGGAAUGGACAGAAAUUUGCCAUUGUCAUGAUUAAAGUGAUAUCUGUGUGAGUGAUGGGAACAGCUUGAAGGCCCUUUGAAUACCAAUUAGCUCAUAGUAUAGGAAAUAACAGUAAAUCUUAAAGUCAAGCAAGCAAGCAUACAGUUUCACUGCAGCAAUCUGACAGUGUCCAGGAUGUCCUUGAUGGAAUAUAAAGAAAAUAUGAAUUUACCAAGAUUCAGACAUACAUAUAUAUAUCCAGUCCAAGAUGAGAAAUGUUAAUAUAUGAUGUAUACAAUGAAAGUAUUUUGCUUUCUACUGGCCAGCAUUAAGUCCUUUGUAAAAUGGGUUAAAUAUUAACUCCAGAUGAUGGCCUGAUAUACAGACAAUUGAAGCUUUUUAUGUAUGUAACCCAGAGCCAUGUAGAAGAAUCAAGAUAACAAUGUAGAAGAAUCGACUGGUGAAGGGGUAUUGAAAUGGGGGGAUUUCUAUAUGGAUAAACAAUAUUUAUGAGAGCCAAAAUGUGCAGUCCUUUCUUCUCAAUGAAGAAUCUCUACAUAUACAAGCACGAACGAGUCAAAAGCAUUGUGGAAUGGAGAAAGAUUAGAAAUUUGCCAUUGUCAUGAUUAAAAUGAUAUCUGUGUGAGUGAUGGAAACAACUUGAAGGCCCUUUGAAUACCAAUUAGCUCGUAGUAUAGGAAAUAACAGUAAAUCUUAAAGUCCAGCAAGAGAGCAUACAAUUUCGCUGCAGCAAUCUCACAGUGUCCAGGAUGUCCUUGAUGGAAUAUAAAGAAAAUAUGAAUUUACCAAGAUUCAGACAUACAUAUAUAUAUCCAGUCCAUGUAGAAGUUUCCAUCCCCAUCUCCAUGAUCCAGGUCCACUACGUGCAACUUUUUUUAAACCUUGUAUAUUGUAUUUAUUUUAU